rnacentral:rRNA from 1 species
AUACGUAGGGGGCGAGCGUUGUCCGGAAUGAUUGGGCGUAAAGGGCGCGUAGGCGGCCUGUUAAGUCUGGAGUGAAAGUCCUGUUUUCAAGAUGGGAAUUGCUUUGGAUACUGAUGGGCUUGAGUGCAGGAGAGGUUAUCGGAAUUCCCGGUGUAGCGGUGAAAUGCGUAGAGAUCGGGAGGAACACCAGUGGCGAAGGCGGGUAACUGGACUGCAACUGACGCUGAGGCGCGAAAGUGUGGGGAGCAAACAGGAUUAGAUACCCUGGUAGUCCACGCCGUAAGCGAUGGAUACUAGGUGUAGGGGGUAUCGACUCCCUCUGUGCCGCAGUUAACACAAUAAGUAUUCCGCCUGGGGAGUACGGCCGCAAGGUUGAAACUCAAAGGAAUUGACGGGG